rnacentral:rRNA from 1 species
UACGUAGGGGGCAAGCGUUGUCCGGAAUCAUUGGGCGUAAAGAGCGUGUAGGCGGCCCGAUAAGUCCGCUGUGAAAGUCCAGGGCUCAACCCUGGAAUGCCGGUGGAUACUGUCGGGCUCGAAUCCGGAAGAGGUGAGUGGAAUUCCUGGUGUAGCGGUGAAAUGCGCAGAUAUCAGGAGGAACACCAAUGGCGAAGGCAGCCCACUGGGACGGUAUUGACGCUGAGACGCGAAAGCGUGGGGAGCAAACAGG